rnacentral:tRNA from 1 species
GGCUUCAUGGUGUAAUGGUGAGGACCCUGGAUCCAGCGAUCCGAGUUCAAAUCUCGUGGAACCU